UACGUAGGCAGCGAGCGUUGUUCGGAAUUACUGGGCGUAAAGAGUGUGUAGGCGGUGCUCUAAGUUUGGUGUGAAAUCUCCCGGCUCAACUGGGAGGGUGCAUCGAAAACUGGAGUGCUCGAGGGUGGGAGAGGUAAGCGGAAUUCCUGGUGUAGCGGUGAAAUGCGUAGAGAUCUGGAGGAAUACCGGUGGCGAAGGCGGCCCCCUGGACAAAGACUGACGCUCAGGUGCGAAAGCGUGGGGAGCAAACAGG
rnacentral:rRNA from 1 species